AAAAACCCAGGUGGUGUGAGAUGGAUCCGCGUCUGAUUAGCCAGUUGGCGGGGUAACGGCCCACCAAAGCGACGAUCAGUAGCCGACCUGAGAGGGUGACCGGCCACAUUGGGACUGAGACACGGCCCAAACUCCUACGGGAGGCAGCAGUGGGGAAUAUUGCACAAUGGGCGCAAGCCUGAUGCAGCGACGCCGCGUGAGUGAAGAAGUAUCUCGGUAUGUAAAGCUCUAUCAGCAGGGAAGAAAAUGACGGUACCUGACUAAGAAGCCCCGGCUAACUACGUGCCAGCAGCCGCGGUAAUACGUAGGGGGCAAGCGUUAUCCGGAUUUACUGGGUGUAAAGGGAGCGUAGACGGCGACGCAAGUCUGGAGUGAAAGCCCGGGGCCCAACCCCGGGACUGCUUUGGAAACUGUGCUGCUGGAGUGCAGGAGAGGUAAGUGGAAUUCCUAGUGUAGCGGUGAAAUGCGUAGAUAUUAGGAGGAACACCAGUGGCGAAGGCGGCUUACUGGACUGUAACUGACGUUGAGGCUCGAAAGCGUGGGGAAGAAACAGGAUUAGAUACCCUGGUAGUCCACGCCGUAAACGAUGAAUGCUAGGUGUCGGGGGGCAAAGCCCUUCG
rnacentral:rRNA from 1 species